rnacentral:rRNA from 1 species
AUACGGAGGGUGCGAACGUUAUCCGGAUUUAUUAGGUUUAAAGGGUGUGUAGGCGGGAGCCUAAGUCAGUGGUGAAAUCUCACAGCUUAACUGUGAAACUGCCAUUGAAACUGGGUUUCUUGAGUAUAGUUGAGGUAGGCGGAAUAUGUAAUGUAGCGGUGAAAUGCAUAGAUAUUACACAGAACACCGAUUGCGAAGGCAGCUUACUAAGCUAUUACUGACGCUGAUGCACGAAAGCGUGGGUAGCGAACAGGAUUAGAAACCCGGGUAGUCC